ACGUGGGGUGCAAGCGUUAAUCGGAAUUACUGGGCGUAAAGCGUGCGUAGACGGUUAUGUAAGUUAGGUGUGAAAGCCCCGGGCUCAACCUGGGAAUUGCAUUUAAGACUGCAUAGCUAGGGUGCGGAAGAGGGAAGCGGAAUUUCCGGUGUAGCGGUGAAAUGCGUAGAUAUCGAGAGGAACACCUGCGGCGAAGGCGGGUUGCUGGGCUGACACUGACGCUGAAGUGCGAAAGCUAGGGGAGCGAACGGGA
rnacentral:rRNA from 1 species